CAUUGUUCUCUCCCUCGCUGCUAUUCAAGUUUCGGUCUCAUAUAUCCUCAUUCACUCGCCGUUUGCUCCCCCUUGUUCACUAUCCUUCAGCUGUUGUAACGAUGCCCCGAAGACCCAGAAGGCGUAGCCAACAUUUGAAAGCUCGGCCUUUGACAUUCUCGCGUUUCGCUCGUUCAGUAGCCCAAAUGGCCUCUACUUCCAAGUCUAAUAAAAAAUCUUAUCGAAGCUUUGCAGUUUCUAAGUCUCUAAGCCACUGCCCAGGCUAUGGAUUGGCUAAGCACACUUUGGAGGAGAAGACAGAGCAAUCUGAGUCAUCUGAUGAAGAGUUUGAAGGUGUUGUCCAAGCUGAUUUUUCCUUCUUUGAUCCUAAACCUGGUGACUUUCAUGGAGUAAAGAACUUGCUCCAAACUUACCUGGAUGAUAAACAAUGGGAUCUGAGUGGCUUUGUUGACUUAAUCUUGGAACAGACCACAGUGGGCACUGUUGUAAAAGUAGAGGAUGAUGAGGAUGAGGGGCUUUUUGCUGUUGUGACUGCUCUGAACUUAUGGAGAUACAGGGAGCAAAAAUGUAUCGAGGAACUGAAGGAUUUCCUACUUAAAGUGUGCAAAGAAAAGGGCACAUUUGAUCAAUUGAAACUUCUUUUGGGGGAACAAGCACAUGAUGUUGGUCUUCUGGUAUCCCAGCGCGUAGUGAAUCUUCCUCUCCAGCUUUUACCACAUCUUUAUGAUGCCCUUUUUGAUGAAGUGUCAUGGGCGACAGAAGAUGAGCCAACAGAGGAGCUUCGUAAUUCCUUCAAGUUAACACAUUAUAUAAUAUAUAGUAAAAUUUACAAGCAUAAGAAUGCAGAGCAAAAUCGAAAACUGAACAAGGAUGAUGAUAAUGCAAUAAUAUAUAUAAAGCCUGAGGACGAACUUUUUCACAAGUUGAGCUCCUGGUUUUUCUAUUUUCCAUUGCAAACUUCACAGCCUGAAACUCGUGAGGCAAGUAUAUGAUUCCUGAUAUACCAUUAUUCCAAUAUGUUUUGGUUCUCCAUUUUCUUGGCAUUUUCUGGAAGUAUUUUUUUUAAUGCAUAACGAUAAUAAGUUCUGCCUCUGUUUUGUGGAGAAAUACACAGCAAAAUAUGGAGUGCCUUAUGGGAUAUUGGCAGUGAGGACUUUUUGCCAUGUGUUUUCAUGGAACGUAAUGCUCACGUUCUUAACAGGAACUUUUUUCUCUCCCAUCUUUUAUGGGAUACAGUUAAUUUUCACCAGUUUUAUUUUGGGGAUGGGCUGUAUGGGGUCCGUGGGUAUUUUGAACAGCCUAUUUGAGUUAAACUUCUCUCGUCUACAUGCUCUUUUCCCUGGUUGAUGGAGGGUUGAGCAUCUGGAUCAGCUAAAGAAUUACAUGUCAGUGGGAUUGGUCAUGGCUGUUGAAGCAGA